ensembl:snRNA U6 U6 spliceosomal RNA
GUGUUCGCUUCGGCAGCACGUAGAAUGAAACUGGAACGAUGCGGAGAUCAGCAUGGCCCGUGCACAAAGAUGACGCACAAGGUCUUGAAGCGUUCCAUAUUUAA